GACGAGUAUAAACACUCUAGCCUCUGCACCUGGGUCAAAUGAUACGGUGCUUUGGCCGUGACAAGACUUGAAAAAGUUUGUCACCAGGGCGCAGGAAGAAAUGACUACGUCUCCCGUAUUUGGAAAGGUGUACAUGGGCUCUCAAC
rfam:Escherichia coli ISC11, WGS project CBWP01000000 data, contig: c16